CACAUCUUUUUUUCACUCAUUAAAGGUUUGCCUGUGAUGGAGAAUAGAUUCACCCCAGUUUCAUCUGGGAGAAGUAGCUCUUACUCAAACCUUUCAAAUCUUCCAGAAGAAAACCCUUCCCCAUAACAACUGCUGUGUUUGAGAGCUCUAUCAAUUGACUAUCAAAUGAAACCAACCAAACUUUGGAAGAAAGCCCUCUGGAUUGCUCAAAUGCAACAACUGAAGAUACUUCUGUCUCCGAAAUGGUGUGUUUUGUCUGUACCUAGCUUUAAAUGGUACUAAGCAUUAGAUUUGGUUGAUAAACUAACAUGCAGUUAAAACAGAUCUAUUAGAAUCAAUUAAUUAUGUAAAACUGACUCAUCAAAUGGACAUAAUUCAAGUUGUAAUGUGCAGCAAUCCUUUUUAAAAUUAUUUACGUUUGUUUUUAGAAUCGUAACUGAGGGUUACUUUUUCAUGAACACUUUGAGUAAAUAAAAUAGCUCCAUUUAAUUGGAGAUGGAACAUUUGCAACUCCAGUAAUAUAAAUUUCACAUGCUGUUAUUCUUCAAUUUAUUUCAGGUCAAUUUGGGACGAAAUUUGGUUGUCAAAAUGCAUGUCUUUAAAAGAAUCGUUGCAAAGAAGGUUGGAUCAUAUGUUGCUGACUUAAUGGGGGCAACCUUAUCCUGUGAACACAUGGCUACCCACAGCUACAAGGGCCAAAAAGGGAAAAAUGGUCAGGUGAAGCCUCGGCUUGAUCCCACAUACACUACUUCUUUAAUUCAGCAUGCAACGAGUGUGAAGUAUUCAAAUAUGCCACGCCAGGUUAUAGAAGAAGAUGUUGUAAAAGCUAUAAAGUUCAAACUUAAUAACGAGUAACAAGCAUGGAAAAUACAACACGAAUCCUGUAAAGUGUAACAUUAGCUGUCUAUAGUAUAUUUUUCUAUUAAUUCUGUCCAUACAACUUAAUGAUAUUUUUCUGUAAAGGAAAAAAAUUGGUGAAUAUUUUUAUCUGGUUAAAAUACAAUGUAUAAUUAAAA